UACGUAGGGGGCAAGCGUUGUCCGGAAUCAUUGGGCGUAAAGAGCGCGUAGGCGGUCCGGUAAGUCCGCUCUGAAAGUCCGGGGCUCAACCCCGGGAGGCGGGCGGAUACUGUCGGGCUAGAGUCCGGAAGAGGCGAGUGGAAUUCCUGGUGUAGCGGUGAAAUGCGCAGAUAUCAGGAGGAACACCGAUGGCGAAGGCAGCUUACUACACGGAUAUUGACACUGAGGCACGAAAGCGUGGGGAUCAAACAGG
rnacentral:rRNA from 1 species